UGUAGCGCCCGGACCGAGGAAAAAAAAAGAGCCACGUCAGCAGGCCCGGUCAGCAGUCCCGGCCAACCGGGGCCUGCCACGUGGCAAGACCACGUCGCUCCUGAACGGGCCACGUUGGCGAUCCACGUGGGCGCGAUCAGACGGCCCAGAUCAAUCGCGUGAUCGGACGGCCCAGAUUUAAUCGCACGGACGGCCCAGAUUUAAUCAAAAACGGACGGUCCAGAUUAAAGCAAAAUGGACGGCUGAGAUCAAAGGG
rnacentral:lncRNA from 1 species